rnacentral:lncRNA from 1 species
CACUGCUACAUAUGUGAUAUGUCUGAGUAGAGCAAGCAAAAAAAAAAAAAAAUUAUAUAUAUCUAGUGAUAAAAUAAAUGAUAUAAAAUGUCAUAUAAAUAUAUUGAUUAAAAAUAAAAUGAUGCUUCCAUAUUUAUUCAUGUGUGCAUUUACAAACGUACUAUAUAUAUAUAUGUAAUAAAUAAGUAUAUUUUUUAUAUUUAUUACUUUUGUUAUUACUUUUGUUAUUACUUUUGUUAUUACUUUUGUUAUUUCUUUUUUUAUCUCUUUUUUUAUUUCUUUUUUUAUCUCUUUUUUUAUUUCUUUUUUUAUAGUAGAUGCAAACUUAACUGAUGAUGUUCUUAGUGUUGACCUACUGGACGAACGACAAGAGUUGACCAAUCUACAAAAUGAAAUUGAAAAAAAUAAGGACUUAAAUGGGCUUUUUAUAUUUAUAUAUCCUAAGCAUGAUACUAAAAAAUAUAGAACAGAGUCCAAUUAUUUUAGAGAAGAGUUAGAACAAAUUAAAAACAAGAAUUAUGCUAUUUAUGGUUUAUCAGAUGACAACACUGAGGAAGAAGUAAGUGAAAAAAAAAAAAAAAAAAAAAAAAAAAAAAAAUGCAUGUCGAUAUGUGUUCUUAUGUUUGUCCCCGUGUCUGUUCUUAUAUGAGACUAAUUUCAGAUGAUUAUUUAUUUAUUUCUGUUUUUUUUUUUUUUUUCUUUCUUUUUUUCUUUCUUUUUUUCUUUCUUUUUUAUUUCUUUUUUUAUUUUAUUUUUUUUGAAAUUUCCAUUUUUACUCGUAGAUAAUAUGGUCAGAAGAAUUAACAACCCAAUUACUAUUUGACACUGAAAAAGAUCUGUUAAAAAAAUUAGGUUGCAUAAAUGAGGAAGACGAAAUAAUAAGAUCGCAUUUGAUUAUACAAAAUGAUUCUAAGGUUUCUUAUUUUCAAAAAAAAAUAGAUGAUGAUAUGUCGUUUGAAAAUGUAAUUAAUUUUCUUUCACUUAAUGAAAACGAUAAAGCUUACGAGGAUACGAUAAAAGACACAUCUGUAGAAAAUGAAGAAGUCAGUAAUAGUGAAUUAGUCACAGAAGAAUAUGGUAAAAAUAUAAAUAAUGAAAAGGAAAAGGAAAAAUCCGAUGAUGAAAAUGUAAAAACAGAUGAAGAGAUGACUAGAGAGGAUGAGGACGAAAGCGAUAAGCCGUACGAAGCGCAUAGUAGUGAAAAUAAAAACUCUGACCAUGCAGAAUCUGACCAUGCAGAAUCUGACCAUGUAGAAUCUGACCAUGUAGAAUCUGACCAUGUAGAAUCUGACCAUGUAGAAUCUGACCAUGCGGAAUCUGACCAUGUAGAAUCUGACCAUGCAGAAUCUGAACAUGCAGAAUCUGACCAUGCAGAAUCUGACCAUGCAGAAUCUGAACAUGCAGAAUCUAAACAUGCAGAAUCUGAACAUGCAGAAUCUGAACAUGCAGAAUCUGAACAUGCAGAAUCUGGCCCUGCGGAUAUAAAUAAAGAACCAAGUUUUGAAGAAAACAACUCCGAAUCAGAAAAAGAGAAAGAAGAUGAAGAUGGUGAUAAAACAUAUAAAGAAGAAGCAGAAGAAGACGAAACUAAUAAGUAUGAAUAUGAGAAUACUAACGAAGAUACAGAUGAAAAAACUGAUGGACAUGCGGAAAACGAAACUAAUGAUGAAACAUAUGAAAAAGACGAGAACGCAGAUGACAGCGUUGAGAAUACAGGUAAACAUUUUGAAAAUAUAGAUGACCAAGCUGAAAAUACAGAUGAUCAAGCUGAAAAUACAGAUGAUCAAGCUGAAAAUACAUAUGACCAAGCUGAAAAUACAGAUGACCAAGCUGAAAAUACAGAUGACCAAGCUGUAAAUACAGAUGACCAAGCUGAAAAUACAGAUGACCAAGCUGUAAAUACAGAUGACAACGCUGCAAAUACAGAUGACAACGCUGCAAAUACAGAUGACAAAAAGGAAGAGAAUGAUAGGAACAAUGAUAAUAAUAACACAAAUGAAAAAACUACUGUAGCUAUUAAAACACAAGUUGAUAAGGAAAAAAAACAGGUCAAAAAAACAAUUCAAAAAAAAAAUAAACCAAAUAAUUUGAAUGAAGAAAAAAAAGCGAAGUCUGCAAAAAGUAUGUUGAAAAGUGAUAAAAAGAAGAACGAAACAAAAAGUAACUCAAAAAAAGUAAAUAACAUUAAUAAAUCUAAAAAGAAUAAUAAUAAUAAUAAUAAAAUGGUUAAGGUAAAACAAGAUAAAAAAAGUGAAAAAAAACAUGAAAAAAAACAUGGAAAAGAAGAUGCGAAAAAGCAUGACAACAAAAAUAAACAGAAAGAGAACAUAUCUGACAAAAAAACUGAUAUGCAAAAAAAGCAAAAUAACAAAGUGGUAAAGAAUAAACUAAUUAAUAAAAAAGAACAGAAUGAUAAAAAAAUGAAAAAAAAAAAUGAAAAUGCAAAUAAAAAAAGUGUUACUGACAAUGCUACUAACAAAACAAAUAUAAACAUAAAUAAAAAAAAAAAUGAUAAUAAAGAUGAGAAAGUAAAUGGGAAAAAAACUGACAAACAGAUUACCAAAAAGAACGAGAAACAAGUUAACAAAAACAGUGACAAAAAAAUUGACAAAACAAUAAAGACAAAAAAUGACAAAAUAAGUAAAAAGAUAAACGAAAAAGUAGAUAAAAAAAAAAAUGACAAAGUAAAUGAAAAAAAAAACGAAAAAAUAAAUGAAAAAAAAAACGAAAAAAUAAAUGAAAAGAAAAAAGAUAAAGUAGACAAGAAGAAAAACGAAAAAGUAAAUGAAAAAAAAAACGAAAAAGUAAAUGAAAAAAAAACUGAUAAAAUGAAGAAUAAUAAAACUGUUACACAAACAAAAGAAAAUAACAACAAACCUGUAAAGCAGCUUACUAACAAGAAGGAAAAAGUAAAUAACAAAGUUAUGGACAAAAAAACCGAAAAAAAAAAUGAACAAAAUAAUACAAGUAAUAAAAGAAAACCUAACGGAGAUGUUUUGAAAAAUAAAAAGAAAAUUAAAACAAAUGAUAAGUAGAAAAAAAAAAAGGCACCAUAUGAGAUAACGUCAUGUCAUAACCAGACCAAGCUAUAUCAAACCAUAUCAAAUCAAAUAUAUAGUCAG